rnacentral:rRNA from 1 species
UCCGGUUGAUCCUGCCGGCGGCCGCCGCUAUAGGAAUUCGAUUAAGACAUGCGAGUCGAGAGUCGUUAUGGACUCGGCGGACUGCUCAGUAACACGUGGAUAACGUGCCCUUAAGAGGAGGAUAAUCUCGGGAAAUUGAGGAUAAUACUCCAUAGAUCACGGGAUCUGGAAUGACCUGUGGUUCAAAGUUCCGGCGCUUAAGGAUCGGUCUGCGGCCUAUCAGGUAGUAGUGGGUGUAACGGACCCACUAGCCGAUGACGGGUAUGGGCCUUGAGAGAGGGAGCCCAGAGAUGGAUUCUGAGACACGAAUCCAGGCCCUACGGGGCGCAGCAGUCGCGAAAACUUCACAAUGGAGGCAACUCCGAUGAGGGAAUUCCUAGUGCCAAUGCAUUUUGUGUUGGCUUUUCUUCAGCGUAAAUAACUGUUGGAAUAAGGGCUGGGUAAGACGGGUGCCAGCCGCCGCGGUAAUACCCGCAGCCCAAGUGGUGGUCGAUAUUAUUGAGUCUAAAACGUUCGUAGCCGGUUCAAUAAAUCUCUGGGUAAAUCGGAGGGCUUAACCUUCCGAAUUCCGGAGAGACUGUUGAACUUGGGACCGGGAGAGGCAAGAGGUACUUCUGGGGUAGGGGUAAAAUCCUGUAAUCCUAGAAGGACCACCGGUGGCGAAGGCGUCUUGCUAGAACGGAUCCGACGGUGAGGGACGAAGCCCUGGGUCGCAAACGGGAUUAGAUACCCCGGUAGUCCAGGGUGUAAACGCUGCAGACUUGGUGUUGGGAACCCUUCGGGGUGCUCAGUGCCGGAGAGAGUUGUUAAGUCUGCUACUUGGGGGAGUACGUCCGCAGGAUGAAACUUAAGGAUUGGCGGGGGG